GAUGAACGCUGGCGGCGUGCCUAAUACAUGCAAGUCGAGCGAACAGAUGAGGAGCUUGCUCCUCUGACGUUAGCGGCGGACGGGUGAGUAACACGUGGAGAACCUACCUAUAAGACUGGGAUAACUUCGGGAAACCGGAGCUAAUACCGGAUAAUAUAUUGAACCGCAUGGUUCAAUAGUGAAAGACGGUUUUGCUGUCACUUAUAGAUGGAUCCGCGCCGCAUUAGCUAGUUGGUAAGGUAACGGCUUACCAAGGCAACGAUGCGUAGCCGACCUGAGAGGGUGAUCGGCCACUCUGGAACUGAGACACGGUCCAGACUCCUACGGGAGGCAGCAGUAGGGAAUCUUCCGCAAUGGGCGAAAGCCUGACGGAGCAACGCCGCGUGAGUGAUGAAGGUCUUCGGCUCGUAAAACUCUGUUAUUAGGGAAGAACAAAUGUGUAAGUAACUAUGCACGUCUUGACGGUACCUAAUCAGAAAGCCACGGCUAACUACGU
rnacentral:rRNA from 1 species